rnacentral:rRNA from 1 species
GAUCCUGGCUCAGGACGAACGCUGGCGGCGUGCUUAAUACAUGCAAGUUGAGCGGAGCUAAUAGUGAGUUACUAUAUUAGUCGAGCAGCGGACGGGUGAGUAACGCGUGGGCAAUCUGCCCUCUAGUUUGGGAUAACAGUUCGAAAGGACUGCUAACACCGAAUAAUCUUAAAUUUGGGCAUCUAAAUUUAAGGAAAGUUAACGCUAGAGGAUGAGCCCGCGUCCCAUUAGCUAGUUGGUGAGGUAACGGCCCACCAAGGCAACGAUGGGUAGCCGACCUGAGAGGGUGACCGGCCACACUGGGACUGAGACACGGCCCAGACUCCUACGGGAGGCAGCAGUAGGGAAUUUUCCGCAAUGGACGAAAGUCUGACGGAGCAACGCCGCGUGAGGGGUGAAGGUUUUCGGAUCGUAAACCUCUGUCCUUGGGGAAGAUAAUGACGGUACCCAAGGAGGAAGCCACGGCUAACUACGUGCCAGCAGCCGC